AGUCGUAUUUGCACUUAAAUCGACUGAGGCCAGCCGUCGCGUUAGACGUUCCGAAUUUGAAUUUUAAACUAACCACCCCGCUUUAUGUGGCCAGGGUGUUCCGCCAACCGUUCCAUUUUUUACGGCACUUGGUGGACGGACAUUAUCAAGGAGGCCACAAACACCAGCGUCCCGGGUGCCAUUAAGCAGGCCGAAUGCAGGCAACAUUGGAGGAAGCUGGUGCAAAAACUGGACCAAGGUGGUCACGACCAUCAGUAAUGAGGAAACGACAAAGAAGAAGAAAAAGAAAUCUAAGUGUAUUCAUUCUAAAAACAACUAUGUUCCAUUUAUAGCCUUGUGCAAGCAAUUGGCAUACUUUUUAUCUAUUCAUUUUAAAAACUUCCCAUACAAAUCGCAGAAUCAAAGAUCCAAAAUUUCAUCAAAAACCGCUCAAGUCUUCAAGGCGAUCGUUAUUCAAUUAUGUUCUUAGGAAGGCGUCGAUAUCAUUAAACUCCAUUGUCUCGCCAAUAAUUGUUUCCCGGAUUCGAAGUCGGGCAGACUCCUAAUUGAAUUACAAUAAUUCAUCGCGACGCCCGAUCAUUAACUUAAGACAAAGAUGAAAGGGUCCAAAAAUUGCUUUCCAAUGUCUUCUGAUAAACGCCUUAAUGGAUUGUGAGAUAAAAGGACUGGACAAAA